CUGUUCUCGGAAAUGUGGCAUGGACCUCUCUAAAUUUUAAGGAAAUCUGAACUGAGCCCCUCUAGAAAACAAAAUGAUCAGUAGAUUGAAAAAGCACACAGCAUUAUUCUCCCAACUGCUUGAAGUCCACCAAAGAUCACGAGGAGGGAAUAUGGAGUUAACACUGUUAAAAGGAGUAGACAGAAGGCUCCUCUGUCUGAUCAUGAAGCUCAACAUCCUUACAUAAUUUGGAGUUUCUCAGCUAGACGGCUUGCCAGAGGACGUGAGGAGUUGAGCAGAGGCUGAAAAAAAGAGGAAUACUUUCCCAUGUUUGAUAGACUGAAAAAAAACCCUCUUUGCUUCAGAAAGCAAUUUGGAGACGUCAGAGGGCAGAAUAAGAGGCUGGAAGUAGGAGAUCCGAUACGGACCCCUGGCUGACUUCCCAUCCUCGGUUUAUUCUGGGAUUAUAUAAAAAAAACAUUUUAAGAAAAAAGAGCUUGACUCCUGGGAACUUGUUUCAUUAGUCUCUUUUUUUCUCGCAGCUUUUGAAAGCUAGUCUUCUCUCUCCCCCCCCACCCCCCAAUCCUAAUCUUCUCCCUGCUGGAUGAGACUGCAUAUUUUGCAUAUAUGCCUUCAUCUAAUUGAAAGAGGAUUCUGUAGGAUGGGUUCUCAUUAACAUGCAAGAAGCCAUCAGUGAAUUAUGAGUGAUGAGAAUCAUGUCAUCUGUCCCGUAUUAUAACAAUUAUUAUAAUUAUAACCGAAUAACAGAGUUGGAAGUCUUCUUGGAGGUCUUCUAGUCCAAGCCCUUCCUCAAGGAGGAAACCUUAUACCAUUUAACAUAUAACAAUUAUUAGAUACAACAAGGAAAAGUGGAGAAUAGGAUGUAUUGUAUGGGUUUGAAUAGUUGCUAUACCUUUUCUUUGAUGCUGGGCCAGAAUAAUCAGUCCUAUGAUUUUUGUAAACCUCAGGGGGCAACAGUGACUUAGAAUUUUGGAUUAACCUUUGGGCUGAUGAUAAAAUCUCAAGUUUACUAAAAUUAGCAGAAACAGGAUGUA